GACGAACGCCUUCGGCGUGCUUAACACAUGCAAGUCGAACGGAAAGGCCCUGCUUUUGUGGGGUGCUCGAGUGGCGAACGGGUGAGUAACACGUGAGUAACCUGCCCUUGACUUUGGGAUAACUUCAGGAAACUGGGGCUAAUACCGGAUAGGAGCUCCUGCUGCAUGGUGGGGGUUGGAAAGUUUCGGCGGUUGGGGAUGGACUCGCGGCUUAUCAGCUUGUUGGUGGGGUAGUGGCUUACCAAGGCUUUGACGGGUAGCCGGCCUGAGAGGGUGACCGGCCACAUUGGGACUGAGAUACGGCCCAGACUCCUACGGGAGGCAGCAGUGGGGAAUAUUGCACAAUGGGCGGAAGCCUGAUGCAGCAACGCCGCGUGCGGGAUGACGGCCUUCGGGUUGUAAACCGCUUUCGCCUGUGACGAAGCGUGAGUGACGGUAAUGGGUAAAGAAGCACCGGCUAACUACGUGCCAGCAGCCGCGGUGAUACGUAGGGUGCGAGCGUUGUCCGGAUUUAUUGGGCGUAAAGGGCUCGUAGGUGGUUGAUCGCGUCGGAAGUGUAAUCUUGGGGCUUAACCCUGAGCGUGCUUUCGAUACGGGUUGACUUGAGGAAGGUAGGGGAGAAUGGAAUUCCUGGUGGAGCGGUGGAAUGCGCAGAUAUCAGGAGGAACACCAGUGGCGAAGGCGGUUCUCUGGGCCUUUCCUGACGCUGAGGAGCGAAAGCGUGGGGAGCGAACAGGCUUAGAUACCCUGGUAGUCCACGCUGUAAACGGUGGGUACUAGGUGUGGGGUCCAUUCCACGGGUUCCGUGCCGUAGCUAACGCUUUAAGUACCCCGCCUGGGGAGUACGGCCGCAAGGCUAAAACUCAAAGGAAUUGACGGGGCCCCGCACAAGCGGCGGAGCAUGCGGAUUAAUUCGAUGCAACGCGUAGAACCUUACCUGGGUUUGACAUGGAUCGGGAGUGCUCAGAGAUGGGUGUGCCUCUUUUGGGGUCGGUCCACAGGUGGUGCAUGCCUGUCGUCAGCUCGUGUCGUGAGAUGUUGGGUUAAGUCCCGCAACGAGCGCAACCCUUGUUCACUGUUGCCAGCACGUUAUGGUGGGGACUCAGUGGAGACCGCCGGGGUCAACUCGGGGGAAGGUGGGGAUGACGUCAAGUCCUCAUGCCCCUUAUGUCCAGGGCUUCACGCAUGCUACAAUGGCUGGUACAGAGAGUGGCGAGCCUGUGAGGGUGAGCGAAUCUCGGAAAGCCGGUCUCAGUUCGGAUUGGGGUCUGCAACUCGACCUCAUGAAGUCGGAGUCGCUAGUAAUCGCAGAUCAGCAACGCUGCGGUGAAUACGUUCCCGGGGCU
rnacentral:rRNA from 1 species